rnacentral:rRNA from 1 species
CGGUCACACUGGGACUGAGACACGGCCCAGACUCCUACGGGAGGCAGCAGCUAAGAAUCUUCCGCAAUGGGCGAAAGCCUGACGGAGCGACGCCGCGUGGACGAAGAAGGCCGGAAGGUUGUAAAGUCCUUUUCCUGGGGGAGAAUAAAGCGGGGAGGGAAUGCCCCGCACAUGACGUGAACCAGGGAAUAAGCCCCGGCUAAUUACGUGCCAGCAGCCGCGGUAACACGUAGGGGGCGAGCGUUGUUCGGAUUUAUUGGGCGUAAAGGGCGCGUAGGCGGUAGUGCAAGUCCGGUGUGAAAUCCCCCGGCUCAACCGGCAGAUGCGCUGGAAACUGUGCUGCUAGAGUCUAGGAGGGGAAGCUGGAAUUCCUGGUGUAGGGGUGAAAUCUGUAGAGAUCAGGAAGAACACCGGAGGCGAAGGCGAGCUUCUGGCCAUAGACUGACGCUGAGGCGCGAAAGCGUGGGGAGCGAACAGGAUUAGAUACCCUGGUAGUCCACGCUGUAAACGAUGUGCACUAGGUGUCGGGGGUAUGAACUCUCGGUGCCGGAGCUAACGCGUUAAGUGCACCGCCUGGGGAGUAUGCUCGCAAGGGUGAAACUCAAAGGAAUUGACGGGGGCCCGCACAAGCGGUGGAGCAUGUGGUUUAAUUCGACGAUACGCGAGGAACCUUACCAGGGUUUGACAUAUAGCGGACGGCUGUAGAGAUACCGCUUCCCUUCGGGGCCGCUAUACAGGUGCUGCAUGGUUGUCGUCAGCUCGUGCUGUGAAGUGUUGGGUUAAGUCCCGCAACGAGCGCAACCCCUGCUGUCUGUUACUAUCAGGUAAUGCUGAGGACUCAGACGGUACUGCCGGUGACAAACCGGAGGAAGGUGGGGACGACGUCAAAUCAUCAUGGCCCUUAUGUCCUGGGCUACACACGUGCUACAAUGGCCGGUACAGAGCGAGGCGAAACCGCGAGGUGGAGCGAAUCGCAGAAAGCCGGUCCCAGUUCGGAUUGAAGUCUGAAACCCGACUUCAUGAAGGUGGAAUCGCUAGUAAUCGCGCAUCAGCAUGGCGCGGUGAAUAUGUUCCCGGGCCUUGUACACACCGCCCGUCACACCACCCGAGUUGGGGGUACCCGAAGUCGCUCGUCUAACCGGUAACGGAGGACGGUGCCGAAGGUACGCUUGGUAAGGGGGGUGAAGUCGGAACAAGGUA